rnacentral:rRNA from 1 species
UACGUAGGAGGCAAGCGGUGUCCGGAAUUAUUGGGCGUAAAGCGCGCGCAGGCGGUUAUGUAAGUCUGAUGUUAAAGCCCGGGGCUCAACCUCGGUUCGCAUUGGAAACUGUGUAACUUGAGUGCAGAAGAGGAAAGUGGUAUUCCACGUGUAGCGGUGAAAUGCGUAGAUAUGUGGAGGAACACCAGUGGCGAAGGCGUCUUUCUGGUCUGUAACUGACGCUGAGGUGCGAAAGCGUGGGGAGCAAACAGG